rnacentral:rRNA from 1 species
UAGUGAGUGGGCGAACGGGUGAGUAACACGUGAGUAACCUGCCCUCUUCUUUGGAUAACGCCCGGAAACGGGUGCUAAUACUGGAUAUUCACUGAUCUUCGCAUGGGGGUUGGUGGAAAGGUUUUUUCUGGUGGGGGAUGGGCUCGCGGCCUAUCAGCUUGUUGGUGGGGUGAUGGCCUACCAAGGCUUUGACGGGUAGCCGGCCUGAGAGGGUGACCGGUCACAUUGGGACUGAGAUACGGCCCAG